UUAAGUGAAUAAGGGCGCACGGUGGAUGCCUUGGCACUAGGAGCCGAUGAAGGACGGGACUAACACCGAUAUGCUUUGGGGAGCUGUACGUAAGCUAUGAUCCAGAGAUUUCCGAAUGGGGGAACCCAACAUCUUUAAUAGGAUGUUACGAUUGUGUGAAUACAUAGCACAUUCGAGGUAGACGCAGAGAACUGAAACAUCUAAGUACCUGCAGGAAGAGAAAGAAAAUUCGAUUCCCUGAGUAGCGGCGAGCGAAAUGGGAAAAGCCCAAACCAGCAAGCUUGCUUGUUGGGGUUGUAGGACUCCAAUAUGGUAGUUCUUUCAGAUAGUCGAAUGACUUGGAAAAGUCAGUCAAAGAGGGUAAAAACCCCGUAGACGAAAUGUGGAAGACACCUAGGAGGAUCCUGAGUACGGCGGAACACGAGAAAUUCCGUCGGAAUCCGGGAGGACCAUCUCCCAAGGCUAAAUACUCCCUAGUGACCGAUAGUGAACCAGUACCGUGAGGGAAAGGUGAAAAGCACCCCGGAAGGGGAGUGAAAUAGAACCUGAAACCGUGUGCCUACAACAAGUCAAAGCCCGUUAAUGGGUGAUGGCGUGCCUUUUGUAGAAUGAACCGGCGAGUUACGAUUGCAUGCGAGGUUAAGUUGAAGAGACGGAGCCGCAGCGAAAGCGAGUCUGAAUAGGGCGUUUGAGUAUGUAGUCGUAGACCCGAAACCAUGUGAUCUACCCAUGUCCAGGUUGAAGGUGCGGUAAAACGCACUGGAGGACCGAACCCACGUACGUUGAAAAGUGCGGGGAUGAGGUGUGGGUAGCGGAGAAAUUCCAAACGAACUUGGAGAUAGCUGGUUCUCUCCGAAAUAGCUUUAGGGCUAGCCUCGGAAUUGAGAAUGAUGGAGGUAGAGCACUGUUUGGACUAGGGGCCCAUCUCGGGUUACCGAAUUCAGAUAAACUCCGAAUGCCAUUCAUUCAUAUCCGGGAGUCAGACUGUGAGUGAUAAGAUCCAUAGUCGAAAGGGAAACAGCCCAGACCACCAGCUAAGGUCCCAAAAUAUAUGUUAAGUGGAAAAGGAUGUGGGGUUGCACAGACAACUAGGAUGUUGGCUUAGAAGCAGCCACCAUUUAAAGAGUGCGUAAUAGCUCACUAGUCGAGUGACCCUGCGCCGAAAAUGUACCGGGGCUAAACAUAUUACCGAAGCUGUGGAGUACACCUUUAGGUGUAUUGGUAGGAGAGCGUUCUAAGGGCGUCGAAGGCAGAUCGUGAGGACUGCUGGAGCGCUUAGAAGUGAGAAUGCCGGUAUGAGUAGCGAAAGACAGGUGAGAAUCCUGUCCACCGAAUGACUAAGGUUUCCUGGGGAAGGCUCGUCCGCCCAGGGUUAGUCGGGACCUAAGCCGAGGCCGACAGGCGUAGGCGAUGGAUAACAGGUUGAUAUUCCUGUACCCGUUGUUUUUGUUUGAGCAAUGGAGGGACGCAGGAGGCUAAGGAAUGCAGACGAUCGGAAAUGUCUGUCCAAGCAGUAAGUCUGAAGAGGAGUCAAAUGCUUCUUUUCUUAAGGACAAGCUGUGAUGGGGAGGGAAAUAAUAGUACCGAAGUUCCUGAUGUCACACUGCCGAGAAAAGCUUCUAGUGAGAAAACAGCGGCCCGUACCGCAAACCGACACAGGUAGUCGAGGAGAGAAUCCUAAGGUGAGCGAGAGAACUCUCGUUAAGGAACUCGGCAAAAUGACCCCGUAACUUCGGGAGAAGGGGUGCUGAUCAUACGAUCAGCCGCAGUGAAUAGGCCCAAGCGACUGUUUAUCAAAAACACAGGUCUCUGCAAAAUCGUAAGAUGAAGUAUAGGGGCUGACGCCUGCCCGGUGCUGGAAGGUUAAGAGGAGUGCUUAGCGCAAGCGAAGGUACGAAUUGAAGCCCCAGUAAACGGCGGCCGUAACUAUAACGGUCCUAAGGUAGCGAAAUUCCUUGUCGGGUAAGUUCCGACCCGCACGAAAGGCGUAACGAUUUGGGCACUGUCUCAACGAGAGACUCGGUGAAAUUUUAGUACCUGUGAAGAUGCAGGUUACCCGCGACAGGACGGAAAGACCCCAUGGAGCUUUACUGUAGUUUGAUAUUGAGUGUCUGUACCGCAUGUACAGGAUAGGUAGGAGCCGUAGAAAUCGGAACGCUAGUUUCGAUGGAGGCGCUGGUGGGAUACUACCCCUGCGUUAUGGCCACUCUAACCCGCACCACUAAUCGUGGUGGGAGACAGUGUCAGAUGGGCAGUUUGACUGGGGCGGUCGCCUCCUAAAAGGUAACGGAGGCGCCCAAAGGUUCCCUCAGAAUGGUUGGAAAUCAUUCGAAGAGUGUAAAGGCAGAAGGGAGCUUGACUGCGAGACCAACAAGUCGAGCAGGGACGAAAGUCGGGCUUAGUGAUCCGGUGGUUCCGCAUGGAAGGGCCAUCGCUCAACGGAUAAAAGCUACCCUGGGGAUAACAGGCUUAUCUCCCCCAAGAGUCCACAUCGACGGGGAGGUUUGGCACCUCGAUGUCGGCUCGUCGCAUCCU
rnacentral:rRNA from 1 species